AUGGCAGUGUUCCAGCAGUUUUGGGCAGUUAUACGGCAGUUUCCAGCAGUUAUCCGACAGUUUCCGGUCAUUGAAAUCACUGUUUAUAAUAACCAAACCAGUCAGGGUACUGGUAAAGAGAGAGGUGCUGCAGCAGGAUCAGGAGCAAGCUUUGGGGGAUCUAAAAAUCCACGUCCAAAAUCCAGAACUGCUCGGCGCUAA